rnacentral:lncRNA from 1 species
CACAUUUUCAUUCUCUGGCUGGUCCCCAGAGACUUUCGCUUAAUCCCGUAUUCAAGAGGACACUGCUCGGGGUGAGGCUGGCACUCACGGGUACAUGUUCACCCGACAAUGCACACACAAUUUGAAAUAGACUGCCGCUGGCAUAGGGCAGGAGGAGAGGAGGCCAGAGCUGCUGGGCUAUUUGUCAUCUCAAGCAUUUCAAGCGUUUGCACACCACCUCCUUAGCAGGACACAUGGGGUAUGUGUCCCCUGGCAAGAUGUUUAGUGAACACAAAUAAGGGCUGUAAUGUAUCCACCCGAGGGGAGAGACAAGACCCACCACUGGAGCUUUUCUUCCUGCAUUUAAGGGACAGAAAACUCUUCAAUAAACAUCUUACUAUUUCAACCUAAAGGCUGAAUAAUUCCAUGG